UAGCAUAGUGGUUAAGAGUUUGGCUGCUAACCAAAAGGUUGGUGGUUCAAAUUCACC
rnacentral:tRNA from 1 species